rnacentral:misc_RNA from 1 species
GAAACGCGAUAGGUAAUGUGAAUUGCAGAAUUCCGUGAAUCAUCGAAUCUUUGAACGCACCUUGCGCUCCUUGGUAUUCCUUGGAGCAUGCCUGUUUGAGUAUCAUGAAAUCUUCAAAGUAAAUCUUUUGUUAACUCAAUUGGUUUCUACUUUGGUAUUGGAGGUCUUUGCAGCUUCACACCUGCUCCUCUUUGUUCAUUAGCUGGAUCUCAGUGUUAUGCUUGGUUCCACUCGGCGUGAUAAGUUAUCUAUCGCUGAGGACACUGUAAAAGGUGGCCAAGGUAAAUGCAGAUGAACCGCUUCUAAUAGUCCAUUGACUUGGACAAUACUUUUAUGAUCUGAUCUCAAAUCAGGUAGGACUACCCGCUGAACUUAAGC